ensembl:rRNA 5S_rRNA 5S ribosomal RNA
ACUCAUGGUCAGCCAAACUGCCCUCAUCCAACCUUGGAAGCUCAGCAGGUCAGGUGUGGUUAGUUCUUGGUUGGGAGACUGCCUGGGAAUACCAGAUUCUGGAAGCU